GACGAACGCUGGCGGCGUGCUUAACACAUGCAAGUCGAACGGAAAGGCCCCUUUGGGGGUACUCGAGUGGCGAACGGGUGAGUAACACGUGAGUAACCUGCCCUUGACUUCGGGAUAACUUCAGGAAACUGGGGCUAAUACCGGAUAGGAAUCCUUGCUGCAUGGUGGGGGUUGGAAAGCUUCGGCGGUUUUGGAUGGACUCGCGGCUUAUCAGCUUGUUGGUGGGGUAGUGGCUUACCAAGGCUUUGACGGGUAGCCGGCCUGAGAGGGCGACCGGCCACAUUGGGACUGGGAGACGGCCCAGACUCCUACGGGAGGCAGCAGUGGGGAAUAUUGCACAAUGGGCGGAAGUCUGAUGCAGCAACGCCGCGUGCGGGAUGACGGCCUUCGGGUUGGAAACCGCGUUCAGCAGGGGCGAAGCUUGUGGUGACGGUACCUGCAGAAGAAGCACCGGCUAACUACGUG
rnacentral:rRNA from 1 species